rnacentral:rRNA from 1 species
AGUCAAGUAAUUAAGUGCAUGUGGUGGAUGCCUUGGCAGUCAGAGGCGAUGAAAGACGUGAUAGCCUGCGAAAAGCUCCGGGAGGCGGCAAAUAUCCUUUGAUCCGGAGAUGUCUGAAUGGGGGAACCCACCUACUUUAAGGUAGGUAUUGCAACAUGAAUACAUAGUGUUGCAAGGCGAACGAGGGGAAGUGAAACAUCUCAGUACCCUUAGGAAAAGAAAUCAAUUGAGAUUCCCUCAGUAGCGGCGAGCGAACGGGGAUCAGCCCAUUAAGUUAUGUGUGUUUUAGUGGAACGCUCUGGGAAGUGCGAACGUAGAGGGUGAUAUUCCCGUACACGAAAGGGCACACAUAAUGAUGACGAGUAGGGCGAGGCACGUGAAACCUUGUCUGAAUAUGGGGGGACCAUCCUCCAAGGCUAAAUACUCCUGACUGACCGAUAGUGAACCAGUACCGUGAGGGAAAGGCGAAAAGAACCCCUGUGAGGGGAGUGAAAUAGAUCCUGAAACCGCAUGCAUACAAGCAGUGGGAGCACCUUCGUGGUGUGACUGCGUACCUUUUGUAUAAUGGGUCAGCGACUUAUAUUCAGUAGCGAGGUUAACCGUAUAGGGGAGCCGUAGAGAAAUCGAGUCUUAAUAGGGCGUUUAGUUGCUGGGUAUAGACCCGAAACCAGGCGAUCUAUCCAUGAGCAGGUUGAAGGUUGGGUAACACUAACUGGAGGACCGAACCCACUGUCGUUGAAAAGCCAGGGGAUGACUUGUGGAUAGGGGUGAAAGGCUAAUCAAGCCUGGUGAUAGCUGGUUCUCCCCGAAAGCUAUUUAGGUAGCGCCUCGGACGAAUACCAAAGGGGUAGAGCACUGUUUCGGCUAGGGGGUCAUCCCGACUUACCAAACCGAUGCAAACUCCGAAUACCUAUGAGUACUAUCCGGGAGACAGACUGCGGGUGCUAACGUCCGUAGUCAAGAGGAAAACAAUCCAGACCGCCAGCUAAGGCCCCAAAAUCAUAGUUAAGUGGGAAACGAUGUGGGAAGGCAUAGACAGCUAGGAGGUUGGCUUAGAAGCAGCCACCCUUUAAAGAAAGCGUAAUAGCUCACUAGUCGAGUCGGCCUGCGCGGAAGAUGUAACGGGGCUAAAACUAUGUGCCGAAGCUGCGGAUGUAUACUUUGUAUACGUGGUAGGGGAGCGUUCUGUAAGCCGAUGAAGGUGUGUUGAGAAGCAUGCUGGAGGUAUCAGAAGUGCGAAUGCUGACGUGAGUAACGACAAAACGGGUGAAAAACCCGUUCGCCGAAAGACCAAGGGUUCCAGUCCAACGUUAAUCGGGGCUGGGUGAGUCGACCCCUAAGGCGAGGCCGAAAGGCGUAGUCGAUGGGAAAAUGGUUAAUAUUCCAUUACUUCUGUGUAAUGCGAUGAGAGGACGGAGAAGGCUAAAUCAGCCUGGCGUUGGUUGUCCAGGUGAAAGGAUGUAGGCAUGUAUCUUAGGUAAAUCCGGGGUACUCUAUGCUGAGAUCUGAUAGCAAGCUGUACUUGUACAGCGAAGUGGUUGAUGCCAUGCUUCCAGGAAAAGUCUCUAAGCUUCAGUUACACAGGAAUCGUACCCGAAACCGACACAGGUGGUCAGGUCGAGUAGACCAAGGCGCUUGAGAGAACUCUGCUGAAGGAACUAGGCAAAAUGGUACCGUAACUUCGGGAGAAGGUACGCUGUUGUUGGUGAUGGAACUCGCUUCCUGAGCUGACGACAGCCGCAGAAACCAGGCCGCUGCAACUGUUUAUUAAAAACAUAGCACUCUGCAAACACGAAAGUGGACGUAUAGGGUGUGAUGCCUGCCCGGUGCUGGAAGGUUAAUUGAUGGGGUUAGCGUAAGCGAAGCUCUUGAUCGAAGCCCCAGUAAACGGCGGCCGUAACUAUAACGGUCCUAAGGUAGCGAAAUUCCUUGUCGGGUAAGUUCCGACCUGCACGAAUGGCAUAAUGAUGGCGGCGCUGUCUCCAGCAGAGGCUCAGUGAAAUCGAAAUCGCUGUGAAGAUGCAGUGUACCCGCGGCUAGACGGAAAGACCCCGUGAACCUUUACUGCAGCUUGACACUGAACUUUGACCUUACUUGUGUAGGAUAGGUGGGAGGCUUUGAAGCUGGAACGCUAGUUCCAGUGGAGCCGUCCUUGAAAUACCACCCUGGUAAUGUUGAGGUUCUAACUCUGUCCCGUGAUCCGGGACGAGGACCGUGUCUGGUGGGUAGUUUGACUGGGGCGGUCUCCUCCUAAAGAGUAACGGAGGAGUACGAAGGUGCGCUCAGCGUGGUCGGAAAUCACGCGUAGAGUAUAAAGGCAAAAGCGCGCUUAACUGCGAGACCCACAAGUCGAGCAGGUACGAAAGUAGGUCUUAGUGAUCCGGUGGUUCUGUAUGGAAGGGCCAUCGCUCAACGGAUAAAAGGUACUCUGGGGAUAACAGGCUGAUACCGCCCAAGAGUUCAUAUCGACGGCGGUGUUUGGCACCUCGAUGUCGGCUCAUCUCAUCCUGGGGCUGAAGCAGGUCCCAAGGGUAUGGCUGUUCGCCAUUUAAAGAGGUACGCGAGCUGGGUUUAGAACGUCGUGAGACAGUUCGGUCCCUAUCUACCGUGGGCGCUGGAAAUUUGAGAGGAUCUGCUCCUAGUACGAGAGGACCAGAGUGGACGAACCUCUGGUGUACCGGUUGUGACGCCAGUCGCAUCGCCGGGUAGCUAUGUUCGGAAGGGAUAACCGCUGAAAGCAUCUAAGCGGGAAGCCUACCUCAAGAUAAGAUUUCCCUAGGACUUUAUGUCCUCUAAAGAGCCGUUCGAGACUAGGACGUUGAUAGGUUGGAUGUGGAAGCAUAGUGAUAUGUGAAGCUGACCAAUACUAAUUGCUCGUGAGGCUUGACUAU